GAGCAAUGUCCGCAGCCCUCCGGGGCAUUGGAGACAGGUGGUGCAUGGUUGUCGUCAGCUCGUGUCGUGAGAUGUUGGGUUAAGUCCCGCAACGAGCGCAACCCUUAUCCUUAGUAGCUAGCAGGUAAAGCCGGGCACUCUAGGGAGACUGCCGGGGACAACCCGGAGGAAGGCAGGGAUGACGUCAAAUCAUCAUGCCCCUUAUGGCCGGGGCUACACACGUGCUACAAUGGCGCAGACAGAGGGAGGCGACCCUGUGAAGGCAAGCAAAUCCCGGAAAGAGCGCCCCAGUUCGGAUUGUAGUCUGCAACCCGACUACAUGAAGCCGGAAUCGCUAGUAAUCGCGGAUCAGAAUGCCGCGGUGAAUACGUUCCCGGGUCUUGUACACACCGCCCGUCACACCAUGGGAGCCGGGAAUGCCCGAAGUCGGUGACCCAACCGUAAGGAGGGAGCCGCCGAAGGCAGGCCUGGUAACUGGGGUGAAGUCGUAACAAGGUAGCCGUAUCGGAAGGUGCGG
rnacentral:rRNA from 1 species